AAAACGAUAAGGGAUACGCUAAAUUUUCUUUUUAGAAAAUAAUAGAUAAUCCGUCUACACCGCGAUUCGAUCGCUGCACAAUAUAAUAUAAUUAUACCGAACUACUUCUUCUCAGACAUUCCGCGAGACCCCGGCAAACGGGAAGUUUCUGAUUAGAUCGCCUGUAGAUAGGCCGCGUACCGUUAUUUGAUUUGACGGGGCGAACAAAUUAUUAUAUUAACCGACAAUCCCGA